UACGAAGGGGGCUAGCGUUGUUCGGAAUUACUGGGCGUAAAGCGCACGUAGGCGGGUCGUUAAGUCAGGGGUGAAAAUCCCGGAGCUCAACUCCGGAACUGCCUUUGAUACUGGCGACCUCGAGGCCGGAAGAGGUUAGUGGAAUUCCCAGUGUAGAGGUGAAAUUCGUAGAUAUUGGGAAGAACACCAGUGGCGAAGGCGGCUAACUGGCCGGUACUGGA
rnacentral:rRNA from 1 species